AUUGAACGCUGGCGGCAUGCCUUACACAUGCAAGUCGAACGGCAGCGGGGGAGAAGCUUGCUUUUCCUGCCGGCGAGUGGCGAACGGGUGAGUAAUACAUCGGAACGUGCCCUGUAGUGGGGGAUAACUAGUCGAAAGAUUAGCUAAUACCGCAUACGACCUGAGGGUGAAAGUGGGGGACCGCAAGGCCUCAUGCUAUAGGAGCGGCCGAUGUCUGAUUAGCUAGUUGGUGAGGUAAAGGCUCACCAAGGCGACGAUCUGUAGCGGGUCUGAGAGAAUGAUCCGCAAAAAGGGGACAGAGCCACGGCCCAGACUCCUACGGGAGGAAGCAGUGGGGAAUUUUGGACAGUGGGGGCAACCCUGAUCCAGCCAUGCCGCGUGAGUGAAGAAGGCCUUCGGGUUGUAAAGCUCUUUCGGCCGGGAAGAAAUCGCAUGGGCUAAUACCCUGUGUGGAUGACGGUACCGGAAUAAGAAGCACCGGCUAACUACGUGCCAGCAGCCGCCGUAA
rnacentral:rRNA from 1 species